UGAGGAAUAUUGGUCAAUGGGCGCGAGCCUGAACCAGCCAAGUAGCGUGCAGGAUGACGGCCCUAUGGGUUGUAAACUGCUUUCGUAUGGGGAUAAAGUCAAUCACGUGUGAUUGUUUGCAGGUACCAUACGAAUAAGGACCGGCUAAUUCCGUGCCAGCAGCCGCGGUAAUACGGAAGGUCCGGGCGUUAUCCGGAUUUAUUGGGUUUAAAGGGAGCGUAGGCCGGAGAUUAAGUGUGUUGUGAAAUGUAGACGCUCAACGUCUGACUUGCAGCGCAUACUGGUUUCCUUGAGUACGCACAACGUUGGCGGAAUUCGUCGUGUAGCGGUGAAAUGCUUAGAUAUGACGAAGAACUCCGAUUGCGAAGGCAGCUGACGGGAGCGCAACUGACGCUUAAGCUCGAAGGUGCGGGUAUCGAACAGGAUUAGAUACCCUGGUAGUCCGCACAGUAAACGAUGGAUGCCCGCUGUUGGUACCUGGUAUCAGCGGCUAAGCGAAAGCAUUAAGCAUCCCACCUGGGGAGUACGCCGGCAACGGU
rnacentral:rRNA from 1 species